GCAUGUUGGGAUGUGUUGAAUACUAACUUUGGCAUUUUCCAUUAUUUUAAAAAUAGCAUUUUUAAAUUUCAUAUAAGGGACCCUACUGUGAAAUGUGAGUGUCUCUCUACAAUAUGCAAAUAGGACUUUUUUCCCUAAUCUCCUUUUUACUCAUUAUUUGGGGAGUCAUGAGAAACCAUCAAGUAGAAACAUAAGACAUCAUGUUUCUUCAAGGUGGAAACUUAAAUUUCUAAACAUAACGCAACCUCGUGGAUUCACCCAUAUGACUUUGAUGGAGAUGAAUUUUGGAAUAUGGUAGAUACUCCUGUCCAGUGCUUGACUCAUCACCUCAAGACGGUGGAGGUAGCUGGUUUCGUAAUGGAGAAGCAUGUGAUUCAUUUUGUGGAAUAUUUGCUCAGGAGUUCCAUGGUGUUAGAGGAAAUGGUGAUAUUCGCGGAGAAGCAGACGUGGAUCUAUGGCCCAAUUACUCUUAUGUCUGGUAAGGUUCAGGAAUUCGAGGAGAGGCUAAUGAAUGCCCCAAAAGCCUCUGCCUCUGCUGCAGUGGUUUUCUAUUGAUGGUGAACCCUUCAGAAUGAUUUGCCUAGAUAGUGUAAAAGUCAUUUACACUGUCGGUGUUUAUAAGUUGAACUUAUGAUAUUAAUGUGCAAAAUGAAUUGUGCCGUGGACCGUUUCCUGCAUUUUCUGUAAUAAACUGUUGAAGGGCUUUCCUGUUGGAUGUUAUACAGCUUUUUCUUUAAAAUA